UUGCAGAAUCGCGCUUUUACCUCUGCUCGUCAACUCCUCGAUUCCAUGCCUGCCAAGCUCGAUACCAAACGCCUUGCUCUCGCCCUUAAAAAGUUGUGAUUCAUGGAAGUACUCGGAUAUUGAAGGGGUCUGUCUGAAUUUAAUUAACUGGCUCUGGUACCCUGCAUGGGUUUUACCUAAUUCUAAUUGUAGGUAGCAAAUUAAAUGUCCUUUAUUGCUCUACAGUCCUCUCUAGACUUACACUUCCGUAUAGGGAAAGUUGGGGGCAUGGGGAGGACGACGGGAUGCCAUGAAAAAACAUGUGCACAUGGCAAUUCCAGUGGGAAUUUGCUGCCCACCAUUAAUUCCAUCAUAGCUUGGCUUGGCCAGAGCCUAUAUUCAUGACAACAUUAUAAUUAUUUACUAGGCUGAAACCAUCAAGAAGAAUAUUCUUGUGCUUGGGACAAAGUCCAUUCAGUGUUCAAGUUGGGACUUUUUUGUUUUGUGUUAGCCUCCCUAUGAUUUAACAUUUGAAAUCUACUUUCCCAGUCUCUAAACACAUAGUUCCUAAUGUUAGAAUCUGUUGACUUAGCAAAAUAACUCUAAGUUAUUAACUUAAAGCAAUUUUAAGAUAAUUAUUUACUUUUAUUGAUUUUAAAGUUUAGGAAAUCCAUUGAGAAGAUUUGUUAAUAGUUGCUUAGAAGAAAGUUUAAGAACUUGAGGAGGAGGAUUAGGAGAUCGGUUAUGCAAUCUCCACUAUAAAUACUCAUGAAAGGAUCAAGCAAUUGUUGAUGGUUUUAGCCGAAUUCGAUUCCUCCUAUGGUCCUGCUUGGCAUUGCAUUGUGGGAACUAGCUUUGGCUCCUAUGUAACACAUUCUCUGGGUGGCUUCUUGUAUUUUUCAAUAGAUAAAGUUCACAUCCUUCUCUUCAAAACGUCAGUUGAGCCCCUGUCGCGUGCAACCUCGUUAAAAGAUUGAGUUCCUCAAUUCUAAAUGAGGAUUGAACAGCUGCUGAAGUCAUGAGCAAGAACAACCAGGUUCAGUCUACUACUCUUUUUGGUUGUAUCAUUGACUUUUAUCUUCUUUAAAAAACAGAGUGUGCAGGUGAUGUGAGUUAUUAUGAAAUUUUGUAAUGUGCAGUCCAACAUCUAGGAUUUCUGAUGUUAUAAGAUUUUAUGUUUAUGUUAACUUCUCGGUUUAAGGUAGUAAAUAAAAAGCUUUGCUACAAUUCUCAGUUU